AACGAACGCUGGCGGCAGGCCUAACACAUGCAAGUCGAACGAGAUCUUCGGAUCUAGUGGCGGACGGGUGAGUAACGCGUGGGAACGUGCCCAGAUCUAAGGAAUAGCCACUGGAAACGGUGAGUAAUACCUUAUACGCCCUUCGGGGAAAGAUUUAUCGGAUUUGGAUCGGCCCGCGUUAGAUUAGGUAGUUGGUGGGGUAAUGGCCUACCAAGCCUACGAUCUAUAGCUGGUUUUAGAGGAUGAUCAGCAACACUGGGACUGAGACACGGCCCAGACUCCUACGGGAGGCAGCAGUGGGGAAUCUUGGACAAUGGGGCAACCCUGAUCCAGCCAUGCCGCGUGAGUGAUGAAGGCCUUAGGGUCGUAAAGCUCUUUCGCCUGUGAUGAUAAUGACAGUAGCAGGUAAAGAACCCCCGGCUAAC
rnacentral:rRNA from 1 species